GAUGAACGCUGGCGGCGUGCCUAAUACAUGCAAGUCGAGCGAACGGACGAGAAGCUUGCUUCUCUGAUGUUAGCGGCGGACGGGUGAGUAACACGUGGAUAACCUACCUAUAAGACUGGGAUACUUCGGGAAACCGGAGCUAAUACCGGAUAAUAUUUUGAACCGCAUGGUUCAAAAGUGAAAGACGGUCUUGCUGUCACUUAUAGAUGGAUCCGCGCUGCAUUGGCUAGUUGGUAAGGUAACGGCUUACCAAGGCAACGAUGCAUAGCCGACCUGAGAGGGUGAUCGGCCACACUGGAACUGAGACACGGUCCAGACUCCUACGGGAGGCAGCAGUAGGGAAUCUUCCGCAAUGGGCGAAAGCCUGACGGAGCAACGCCGCGUGAGUGAUGAAGGUCUUCGGAUCGUAAAACUCUGUUAUUAGGGAAGAACAUAUGUGUAAGUAACUGUGCACAUCUUGACGGUACCUAAUCAGAAAGCCACGGCUAACUACGUG
rnacentral:rRNA from 1 species